rnacentral:lncRNA from 1 species
UGUGUUAAAAGACUAACUGAUUUGACCCUACAUUCUUAAAAAAAAUGCAGUCCAAGGAUUGUAUUUCAUGGGAGGGAAAAACACUUUAAACUUAAAUUAUACUCAACAAUUAUAUUUUAUUCAUAGAAUAUUUUUGAGCAAAGCUUAUGUUUUGUGAUUCUUAAAUAUACAUUUUUUAAAAAUAUCAAAAUUCUUACAUGCAGAAAAUUGUACAAGGCAUAAAGAAUGUAACUGGUUUCAGGGUUGGUGAUGUUGUAUAAGCUGAAGCCCACAAUACCCACAAGUUCCAAUUUUAGUCUCUUCCUCCAAGUUUAUGUACACUUUUGGAUGACCCAAAGCUCCUCCUCCACCACCAUCACAUGAUAUCACUCGACUUUCCACACUGCUGAUUGGUUGCUCUGCUAUCAAAUCAGCGCAGUUUUCAUUUACUUCUUUCUGGCUACCAACAAAGAGAAUCCUCCUGUAAUCAUCUUCAUCAUAAACCUGACCCACGUGGGUAAUUUUUUCCCCCGUGGGCGACAUCUGCACAUCAAAAUACCUGGCAGGAGCGGGGAACCCUGGCUGGCCCCAAGGCUGUGGCCCAGAAGGCACCUCAGGCCACAAACACCACUGCUGUAACUGCCUCCAUUGUCCCCCUCCAAUACUUUUUUAAAGAAACAAUCGAUGUUUUCUCAACACUGUAAUGCACUCAGAGUCAUGGUGACAGAAGAUGGAACUAGUGAUCUUUUCCCACCUCCCAGAAUUGAAACCAAGCUACUGAUGAUGAUGAAGAGCAAAACAUGGAUGGCACCAAAUGGCUGCAGUUUUCAUUAGAUGCUGGUACUUCUGAAAUUUGUCACUUUGCUGGUCAACUUGAUGAUAAACAUCUCCAAACUCAACUAUACUGGUCCUCUGGAAACCAACAUAUGAUUGUUUGAAGGCUAGACUUAGUGUCAUUCCCUCUUGGUUGAACCUUCCAGAUCCAUUGUUUCUUUGACAUAAGUAACAUUUGAACCCAGGAACAACUCCAGGCAUUGGAAAAGUACUUAUGGAGGAUGCCUUAGAUACCACAUACCAAAUCUAUUGCUUGCAUUAUGCUACACUGAAUAAAUAAUUUUAAAAAAUUUACCUGCUCUGUGUG